AUGGGGUGCGGCUUCUCUUCGGGGGCGUCGGGCGGCGGUGGCGGGCUGCGGCCGUUCGCGGGGGUGCGGGUGAUCCACACCAACGGCUACGUGGAGGACUUCCCCGCCGGCGAGGACGGGGCGCCCGUCACCGUCGCGCGCGCCACCGCCUCCUCCCCCUCGUCGUGCCGGUACGUGCUCUGCUCGUCGGCGCACCUGCUGCAGCCGGGCCGCGCGCUGUUCCGGCCGGAGGACGCGCUGCAGCCGGGCACCGUCUACUUCCUGCUCCCGCACUCCAUCUUCCAGGCCGAGUCCUCCGCCGUGGACCUCGCCUGCCUCAUGAACCGCCUCACCGCGCUCGCGCGCAAGGGCGGCGGCCCGGCGCCCAGCGCCGUCGACUCGCUCUUCUCCGGCGACGCCCAGCACCGCCGCGGCAGCCCCGAAGCCGAGGGCCAGACCGCGAAGCCGCCCCGCCCCGCCCCCAAGAGCUGCGCCGCCGCCGCAUCGACGGGGCCGUGGCGGCCGCGGCUCGACCGGAUCGACGAGUCCAUGGGCCGCUCCUCCAUGCGGAGCGCGUCCACCCUGAGCAACCGCAGCAGCCAGGACUAG
rnacentral:rRNA from 1 species